rnacentral:lncRNA from 1 species
UAGCUCUCACUUCAUUUGCUAGUGUCCCUAACAGGAAGCUUAAGAGUGGUCUCGAGGAUCAAAAGACGUUCUUCCACCAUCCAGGCGGUGGUCUUGGUGGAGGCGGUGGUCUUGGUGGAGGCGGUGGCCUUGGAGGAGGAGGCGGCCUUGGUGGAGGAGGCGGCCUUGGUGGAGGAAGCGGCCUUGGUGGAGGAGGUGGUCUUGGCGGAGGAGGCGGCCUUGGCGGAGGAGCUGGUGGCGGUUUAGGUGGAGGAGCUGGAGGCGGUGGUGGUUUAGGUGGAGGAGCUGGAGGUGGCGGUGGUUUAGGUGGAGGAGCUGGUGGUGGAGCAGG